rnacentral:lncRNA from 1 species
GUGGCUUCCGCUUCCGGUAAGAACAGAAACGUUUAAACGAAGAUUGUAGAAAGAAACCAUGCACACAUUCCACACAGGGAUCCCUCACAGUGAAGCAUGAGGAUCAGAGUACAGCUGGACUGUAGAAGUCUCUUUCUCCUACCCAGUCAACAGAAAACACGUUCACACACAUCUAUGGAAAAGUUUUCCCAUACUUCUGUAAUCUGGAUGAAGACCUAAACCACCCUCUGAAGCUGCUACCAGAGUAUGUCUCUGUAGGGUCUGACAUUGCCAAGCUUCCUGAUGGCAAGGCAGACGAAUGCAAGUCUCUUUGAAACCGAAGAAUCUAUUGGAGAAGUGAACGGCGACUGAAUGUGCUUCAAGCUCAUUUUAAUAAUUUGAUAGACCUCUCCUUGUUGAUUCCCAAAUCUUUUUCCUCAGACAUUCAGUUUCCUAUCAGUCCUUGGCUUGAUUAAAUCGUUCUGAUAUUUUUUUUAUCAGAUGGUGUUGAAAGAGAAACAAUCGCAUUCAAUAAAAUCAAACUUUUUCAAUUGAGAUUGUAUUUUAAUAGACUGUGUUAUGGAUAUGCAUUCACAUUUGUCCUUAUUUCAUAUUUUUGGUGCGUUGCGCCAUCACCUGUAGGGCUUGCCUUUCCUUUCCUACUGACUGCACCCUUUACUGCACGGUCGUGUGCAAUGUUUUCAUAUGGAUGUUUUGAACGCAUUAUAGCACAUAUUUCAGUGUGAACUUUCUCUGCAGUGUCUGUGAUAAUGCCAGACGAAUGGCACAUCAUCAAACAUCUCUCUCAGGUGAGAGGGAAGCUAUCCAGAAGACUUUCACCAGGCGGAUAAAUAUGCACUUGGACAGGGUUAGAGUUGAGGCACCCCCUCUGAAACUACACUAACCAACUGUCUAGCCCUCUUGAGUUGUAGUCCUGACAUUUUUAUAUUUGACAUUGAUGAGCUGAGUAGUGUGUCACUCAGGACCACUGUAGUGAAAAAAAUUGAUAUCAGAUGUGGAUCAACAUAUAUAUAUUUUUUUUCACCCAGUGUGCCCUUUAUCUGGAGAUAGAGGACUUGUUCACAGACAUUCAGGGUGGCAGGGUUCUCAUGGCUUUACUGGAGGAACUGACAGGGUGUAAACUGGUAAGGACCCAUCAGCCCUACUGUGUUGGUGGUCUAAUAUUGGCCAUGUUUCACUGGAGGUGUUCUGAUAUAGGCCUACUGUACAUUGUUUGUUUUGCUGUUACAGUAGCCUAUGUUGUUGUGCGUUCCCCACAGUAAACAAAUGCAAUUUUCGGGUAUAGUCAUCUGAGUAAUGACGGCUUUUAUUGCACACCCUGAUGGUCUAUCCCUUAUUUAUUGUGCCGGGUUUGUGGUGGAGGUGCGCGACUUUGGGCAGAGCUGGUGCAGUGGCCUGUCCUUCCUGGCUCUGGUUAAGUUGAUAGAUCCAGGCCUAGUGGACAUGAGUGACACUGUCCAGAGAGCCCAAGGAGAAUGUAGAGGAAGCCUUCAGGAUAGCACGGCAUGGCCUGGGGGAUCCCACCACUACUGGAGCCUGACACCCUCUAGAGUGAACUCCCUUGUUAAUACACAGUGGAAACCAUGCAUCUGAUGAACCCAGUGGCUUUUGCUGCACAACGAUGUACUGUAUAUCAUCAGUAGACACAAGUCUCUGCUUUGUAAUAUCUUGUUUCUUUUUGCUAAUGUCACACACACUACUCCAGAUGAGCAGUCCAUAACCUGUGUCCCAGUUCUUAGAACACUACCCUGGACUGGAUGAAUGGAAUGUCAUGUCUAAUUGUUCCACACUACGGUAUUCUUUCAAAUGUUGCUCUACCGACCAUUUACAUGUAUAGAGUAAUAGUCUUUACAAGCCUUUGACAAGACAGUGGCUCUUAAUAAAAAAAACUAAGGGCUUUCAAUUAUUUGUUAUUUGUUGUUCAAUAGAACAAUACAUCUGACUUUGACAUGAGCUGAAUCCUGGUCAGAGACAAUACGAACCAACCAACACCAGAGACCUUCACCCCCAUCAGAGACCACUGUCCCCAACCCUGACCAGACCUCUGAUUCCACCAGAAGCCCAGACCUGGAUUCUGUCUCUGGUUUAGGAGAGGACCAGGGAGCAACCGCCAUGGAUGAGGAGGACCUCCAGCCCUGUAGUGGAGACCCAGAUAACCCCCUCUCCCCUGGCUGAACACAUUUUGUCUGCCCAAUCCAGUAUCCAUUAUGACUCUCUCACAACAUGGCCCUCAAAGCACCAGAGGGGAGAUUGGAAUCAGUGUAUCAGGAAUACUAUGAUUCACAGGGAGUCAAAUGCCCCAUUGGGUCUGAGUAAAGAUACUUGGAGCUCUGUGAGUGACACUGAGUCAAAUGGAUUUUUAAAUCUCAAUCUACCCUCUGCUGACAAGGACGUGUGGAUCUGGAUGGAGAAGACCGCUGAGGAGCAGACGUACAGCGAGCUCUGUAUGGACGAGGACAACUUCUCCCAGAGAAAGGCGUCUACACACUGUCUCAGACGAGGGCGCGUACAGCUAUGUUCUGGACCUGAACAAGGAAACUCUGUGGAUAAAUAUCAGGGUUAGAGCCGACAGCGAGCGGCUUGGAGUCAAACCCCCGGUUGGAAUUAGAUCUGAAUCUAACAGAGGUGAUACAGUGAAGCUGAAUGUGAGCCACAGUGUAUAGAGAUGUCAGUCACCCUGAGGAAUGGUGCUGUUGAGAAGGAAGGAGAAGGGAGCCCAGUCUAAAGACCAGAACACUGAGCUGUAUCCAGGAGAGCGUUAACAAUGAAGUGGCAAACGGGAAUAUUUAAAUGAAGACGUGAGUGGAGAAGAGACCUUUUUUGAAGAGGUGGUAAAGGAGGUGUAUGAUGUUGGAGAAGAUGGUGACAAACCGCAGGAAACAGUCCCUGAGCAACAGGAAAGCGACAGAGAAAUAGAUGGAUGGCAGAGGUUGGAGAGAGUGGUUGUGGAGGAAGAGGUGAGUGCUGAAGGAGGAGAAAGAAGAGGAUACAGCUUUGAGGGAGGGGGGGUGACUUUGGCAAGGAGGAGCAAGAAAACGGCGAAGAGAAAGAAAAAGUUGAGUGAAGAUGAUUAUCUCAGGGAAGAAAUUGUACAGGACAGUGACAAGUUGCAUGACUGUGUAAAAUAAGAAUUGAGUGUAGAAGUGGAAAAUAAAGAACUUAGAGGAGGUAGAGAAGAGCUCUGAAGAGGUGGAAUUGGAAGGGGAGGUUUUGAAGGAGGCUGGACAGGGCAGUAACAAGGAGCAGUGGGAGGGAAAGCACACGGUCCCUAAGCAGGAGAGGCUGGAUGUCACAAAAGAAAGACCGAGAAGAAAUUGCUAGACAUAGAUAUGGCAGAGGUUGGAGGAAGAUGUGAAUGCAGAGGAUGGCUUUGGAGAAUAGGUGGAGAAAGGAGAGGUUGUGAAGAGAGAUUAUUUUACUUUUAUUUAACCUUUAUUUAAACUAGGCAAGUCCGCUAAGAACAAAUUCUUAUUUACAAUGACUGCCUACCCUGGCCAAACCCGGACAACGCUGGGCCAAUUGUGCGCCGCCCUAUUGGACUCCCAAUCAUGGCCAGAUGUCAUUCAGCCUGGAUUUGAACCAGGGACUGUAGUGACGCCUCUUGCACUGAGAUGCAGUGCCUUAGACCGCUGCGCCACUCGGGAGGCUGCUGCGCUGUGAAGUUGAAGGAUAAGGAGGUUACAGAGGGAGUGCAUCUCAGGGAGGGCACACAAGAAGACAGUACUGAGGAUUGGGACACAUCCUUCUCAUCAACAUAGUGACUUCACUCUUCUAGAAAAAUUGAUUUCUGCAAACAGUGGCAAUUCCCAGGCAUAAGGGUAUGUUCAUUCAUACAGUGAAUAUUCUCUACUCUGAACAUUACACCAACACUACAAUUGUCUCAAGGAAUUGCCUUCAGUUAACUCGAGGUAAAUUCAAUGCUCUGGUUGUCUCCAUGUUUCAAUCACUUAUGUUGGCUGUUUCUCUAGUCUUUCAGCGAUGGUGUUAUUUCUAGGAAUGUGGUGCCCCCUUGUGGUGCGAUGUCAGAGCUGGAGCUGCUGCUGCUGGUUCUGUGGAUUCUUCUUUACUGUCUCUUCAUCCUCACCAUCUGAACUUCUGUUCUACAGACACCUCAGACUCAAUUAAAUCAUGGUUACACUGAAUAUAAGUUUGACAAAGUUCCCAGUUUAAGGUACAUGCCUAUGAACUCAACAAAUUGAGAGAGCUGUCCAGUUUAGGACCUCAUUUAGGGAUGCAGGAUGUCUGAGAUGUCUUUCUCUAAUCUAGACCUCUUAAUAAAAUGAGUUCAACAAAGCAACCUCAGUCCAACUGAACUAAGUUAAUUACACUAGUGCUUUCUUAGCCACAAGAUGGCAACAUAAGGCCAGGUAAGCAGUCUCUCAGAUUGGUUCCAGUGCUGUAACCCUGGUAACAAACUGACUGCCAGGUAGUUAAUUAGCAUGGGUAUCAUUGAGUUCAAGCAAGCAGUGAUUAAUAAGCACAUUGACAUUUCAGCAGACGUACUAGUAUUAACAAGCUUCGUCAGAAGCCGCAAACACAUUCAAAUAAUGAGCUGAACAUUGGGGGUAAAUUGAAAAAGAAAACUUUGAUCAUAACAUUACUUUUAUAUCUUCUGUGGACAUAAGCAUGCCAUGAAUGUGUGUAUAUAUAUAUAUAUAUUAGAAAAAUAAUGGGUAUAUAUUAGAAAAAUAAUGGGUAUAUGCUCCAUU